AGUGAACGCUGGCGGUAGGCCUAACACAUGCAAGUCGAACGGCAGCACAGGAGAGCUUGCUCUCUGGGUGGCGAGUGGCGGACGGGUGAGGAAUACAUCGGAAUCUACUCUGUCGUGGGGGAUAACGUAGGGAAACUUACGCUAAUACCGCAUACGACCUACGGGUGAACGCAGGGGACCUUCGGGCCUUGCGCGAUUGAAUGAGCCGGUGUCGGAUUAGCUAGUUGGCGGGGUAAAGGCCCACCAAGGCGACGAUCCGUAGCUGGUCUGAGAGGAGGAUCAGCCACACUGGAACUGAGACACGGUCCAGACUCCUACGGGAGGCAGCAGCGGGGAAUAUUGGACAAUGGGCGCAAGCCUGAUCCAGCCAUACCGCGUGGGUGAAGAAGGCCUUCGGGUUGUAAAGCCCUUUUGUUGGGAAAGAAAUCCAGCUGGCUAAUACCCGGUUGGGAUGACGGUACCCAAAGAAUAAGCACCGGCUAACUUCGUGCCAGCCGCCGCCGUAA
rnacentral:rRNA from 1 species